UAGCUUCUGCACCCACUGACUCCCAACCGUCAGAGCCACGUGCCACCCCUGGUAUGCCAUCGCAGGCAGCGUCUGCAGCUGCUGCCACAGAUUCUGAGGUUGGGCUGCCCAUUGGUCCUGUCCCACCAGAUCAGUAGUCCUGAUUGAGGCUAGCUGGUCACGAAACUGAUUGAUUUCCUUUGCUUCGGGUUCACCAACCCCACUGCAUGUACCCCGAGUACCUGAACUUGUUUUCUUAAGUAGUGUAUCCUGUCUCUGAUUGUGGUUGCUGAAACCCCUCAGUUUAUUUAUUUAUUAUAUAUUAUUAUUUCAGUUCCAGAUUUAGCUGAGCUACACGGCUGGACAGGGUCCGGUCGAAGCCCGGUGCCAUGCUGCUGGGGGCUGCUGCGGCCUGCGACGGAUGGCGGCUGUUGCUUCCGCUCCCUGAGGAGAUGCCGUCCUUGUGGCGCACAGGGCGGCUACCCACGGUUGCAGCCCGAUGGCUUCAUUCUCGGGACGCGGCCCGUUGGAUGUGCGACGACCGGCACCUUGCGACCGCUGCGGUGACCGGCAGCGGUGCCCCCUCUCCUGACUUGACAACGGACUACAUCUUCGUGCUGCCAUGGGGUGGCGCCACUGGUGGGACGAGCGCCACUGGUGGAGCAGGCGCCAUCUCUGAGGCGGUACAGCCGACCGGCUGGCUAACGGCGUCGAGCGCCUGAUGAAUGCUGCGCUGAGCGUCGAUACUGAGUCGCCGCUCUCGAACUGUCGAAGUCCCACUGAGCUUGUUGGACAUGACUACGGGGCAGCCGACUAGACUACAUCCUCGGCCGCGGCCCGUUGGAUGUGCGAUGACCGGCACCUUGCGACCGCUGCGGUGACCGGCAGCGGUGCCCCCUCUCCUGACUUGACAACGGGCUACAUCUUCAUGCUGCCAUGGGGUGGCGCCACUGGUCGGACGAGCGCCACUGGUGGAGCAGGCGCCAUCUCUGAGGCGGUACAGCCGACCGGCUGGCUAACGGCGUCGAGCGCCUGAUGAAUGCUGCGCUGAGCGGCGAUACUGAGUCGCCGCUCUCGAACUGUCGAAGUCCCAGUGAGCUUGUUGGACAUGACUACGGGGCAGCCGACUAGACUUCAUUCUCGGCCGCGGCCCGUUGGAUGUAUAAUGACCGGCACCUUGCGACCGCUGCGGUGAGCGGCAGCGGUGCCCCCUCUCCUGACUUGACAACGGGCUACAUCUUCAUGCUGCCAUGGGGUGGCGCCACUGGUGGGACGAGCGCCACUGGUGGAGCAGGCGCCACCUCUGUGGCGCUACUGCCGACCUUGGACCGGCGGGAUGACGGCGUCGAACGCCCGAUGACUGUGUGCUGGACGGCGAUACUGAGUCGCCGCUCUCCGGGCACCAUCCCCAUCGACCAAGGCCCGGCUGGUGCUUGGCGCCGGGUGCCGGAUGGCCGCUGCGCUCGGCGGCGGUGCUGGGUCGCCGCUCUCUGGAAUGACCGCUGACUCGUCUUUUUGAUCUCGUCUUUGUGCUACCGUCUGGUUAGGCACUGUCAAACUCCCCAAUAUAACCUUUAACACUAACUGUCCGUAUUCUAACAAAACUAACAUGUGAAUCCUUUCCGACCAAUCCCGUUUGACAGUGCCAUAAAUUAUGAAUUGUUCAAUGUGUGAUCCCAAAUUAUAAUCAAUAAACGGAACGGAACGGAA